AAAAGGCUGUGCUGAAGGCAGUGUUUCCCAGAGGAAGCAGUGGCUCAUGGGCAGCCUCUGCUGCAGGAAGGGAGGCCAUGCCAGGCACAGUCCCAGGAGAUGAGGGUGCUGAGACAGCUUCUCCAGCAGCUGGGAUGGAAGAUGGUUUGGAACCAUUAGGAGGUUCUGCAGGUGUGUCUGCAGAGAGGACUUUCCCAGUUCCUUUCCUGACGCCUGAACGCAAGCUCGGCUCCCAUCGCAGGGGUCCUCCUAGAGGGAGGAACAAACCUACAGAAGAUAUCAAGUCCCUGGAGACAUC